rfam:Clostridium puniceum strain DSM 2619 CLPTN_contig000184, whole genome shotgun sequence.
UAGCGUAAGCUAGUAAGACCCCUUGAAGACUACAAGGUUGAUAGGUCAGAGGUGUAAGUAUGGUAACAUAUUUAGCUGACUGAUACUAAUAGGUCGAGGGCUUGACCAA